UGGGUGAUGAUGACUCAGGAGAGGAGCAGGACACUUUUAUUUCAUACAAGGAAAUACAUUUAUUGUUUUGUCUUCAGAAAUGACCAUUUGUACCAAUCAGAAGCAAGCUGACAAGAUGGGAAAGAAACUUCUAUGCACAGAUAAUUCUUGGACUUCCUGGAAGGACUGUGGCCAGGCUUCCCGAUCAGAGCACCUCAGGCACACCCCCAGGAUUAAUAGACACAAGAGUUAACUGAUUUAAGUGCCCCUCCCCCUUAACUUUACAUUUACAUUCCCCCUUGAAUUCUGGGAAAAUCUGUGCUUGCUGCAGCUGGUCCUGUCUUCAGCAUCACGUGUGUCUCUCAGGGGAGGAUUUCUAGUGGGUGGGAUUUUCACCAUCACACCUGGCUCCACGCUCAUGGCAUCAGAACUGCUGUGACAGAACAAGCUGUCACCCUGAUGAAGACCAUUUCAGAUGCUGGUCUUGGACUGAAAUGGCAUUGAGGCUGGCAGUGUGACUCAGUGGGAAGACCCUGGGUUUGACGUUCUGCACCUAAACAAAUAAACAACAGAUCUAGGCAAGUCUACUUCUGUUGUUGUUCUGGGGACCAAACCCAGGGUUUUGGGCUUGUUAGGUAGGAAAUCCCCAACCCUACCCUGUGUCUACAGGAAAUAAUACAUACACCUCUUGGUGGAGCUAUCUAGUGCUAAACACAAGAGAAAAUUUUCUUUGGUGUCUUUAGGUACUGGUUUGGUAUCUAAAGAGUACCAAACCAGUACCACAGUACCAGGCUAGUUUGGUACUCUUUGGGUACAUAACCCAGGCUGGCCUCCAACUCAAAAUUAUCCUGUCUCAGCAUCCUGAGUCCACUAUCAUGCCUAGUGAAGGGCUUUCUAACUCUACACAUUCUCAGCCUGACUCAGAAGGGACAUCUAAAUAACAGAAUGGAAUAGUAGUUACAUUCUCCAUUAUACCCCUAAAACUAUGCUUCUCUAAGUUUCUAAGACCAAAACAAAACAAACAAAGAAAUAAAACAGUGACAAAGAGAGCAGAAGCAACAUUAGAAACAGAGAAAAAGGAGAUUUUAAAAAAAAUGAAAUAUAAGAGAUACAUAAAAAUGCCACAAUAAAAACUCAUUGCUUUGUAACAUUAAUCCAAAAAAUAAUUUAAGAAAAAAAUCCAUCAUGAUUCCUCAUAAUAUUGAAAUAAAGUUGAUGACCAAAUAAAGUACAUCAGGGCUGAAUUCAGAAGCUGGAUAGGGCAUGUCAACCUAUCCCAGUACUGGGGUCAUGAUAUUUUUCACAUCCCUCAUAGUAGAAGGGUAUCCAGGAACGUGUCAACUUCAACUGCUUCAGUUCUUUGUCCCAGCCUUGAGACAAACCUACAGCGUCUGUUUUGAAUAUGCAUAUCUGGCUCCUCAGCUUGCCUAGAAAGUGCCAUUCAUUUAUUGACACCAGUAACUAUUUUGAAAAAUUGACCGUGACCUUCCAACUGUGUCUAACACAUCAAAGUUAAACAGCUUAACAUCAAAACCAGUCUGGUUCUCUUAAAUCUGCAUUGUAAACACUGACAGGGACAGACUGCCAAAUGAGAAAAAGUUUCUUAACUCCUUGUGGAGCAAAAACGAAAAACUAAAACCAAAACCAAAACAGUGCUUCAGGAACACACAGCAUUAAAAUUAACACCCUAAUUAAUCCAAAGCGAGGAUGUUUAUUCCAAAAGAUGUCUUCCUCCAACUUCUUGGGAUGGGGUCAAAUGCAAGCCCCUCUAGUUUUCCCCCAGAUUUGUCAUCAAUGAAUGAAUCCCCCAGCUGGAACUUCAUAGUAAAGAGAUGCGAAGUCAGCCUGCUGUUUACAAGAGGUGAGGCGCUAAUCUAAGCUCCACAAGGCCCUUGGCCAGCCCUUGAGAUCCAUGUCUUUUACUCCCGGGCCCAUCACAUGAUCCCCCUUCCAGCGUCCGGGAACUCAACCCUCAGGAAGACCUCGGGUUCAUAGAAGUGGAACAUCGGUGUCCAGGUGUCAGCAUUGCUGCUGUCCCCACCCAAUGCCACUGGGACCCAGGCUGCUGGUGUUUUUCCCCAGGCGCCUGCCUGGCUUGCCAGGUCAGAAAGCUACACUCACGCUCUACACGCUCUCGUGGUACCCCGCUCUUCGGUGCUGGCCCUGUGCUCUGGGUCCCUCAGCCCACACCCGUUUGUCUUGUCAUUUCGUGAGGACCCCUCCUGCCCCCAGCUGUCCUAAACUUUCUUGAGGUCCUCUUCACAUCCAUUGAGAGGGCACCGUUUUCAGAACCACUGCCCUGGCCUCCCUUGAGGUUCUUUGCUUAUUCUCUUGUAAGUCUCUCUUGGGUCCCCCUCCUUCAUUCCGCUGCCUGGGUUCUCUCAAGUUCAUUUGCUCAAUCUGCAGUCUCGGUCCCUCUUAGUGUCUCCUCCGCUCAUCCCACGGUUCCGGUCCCUCUCUGGGUCCGGUCCGUUCUUCUCACUGGACCAUCUGGGGCUGAUCUCCUCGUUCAUCCCGCCGUCGCAGUCUCUCCGGGGUCCUCUCGCUCAUCCCACUGGCCCGGGUCCCUCUCCAAGUCUCCUCUUUGAUCCCACUGCCCACUCCCGUCUUGGGGUCCCCUUGCUCACCUGCGGUAUUUCUCGGUGCCCUCUCAUCUUGCUUUCCCCAUUCCUCUCGGAGUCCCCUCUCACCCACGGUCCCACUCGGAGUCCCCUCCUCACUCCCCGUCCCGGUCCUUCCCGGUCCCCCGAAGCACUGGCAGAUCCGCUAGCUAGCAACUCCUCUCCCGGGAUGCUCGUGACCGCUGCGCCGGGUCCCCGCGCCGGGACUCCGGCUGUCACUCUGGCGCCCGCGCUCUCACCUCAGCGUUGUCACCCGUGGCCCGGACGCCGCGCGCCUCCUCUCCCUCGUGCCCCGAGUCGCUCUCGUGUUGGCUCCUCACGUGCUGGGUCCCCACGUGCAGCCUCCGCUCGAGAGCCCGCGUCGCGCCCCACUCUCCACGCAGGACCCUGGCUGCCGCCGCUGCUGCUGUCCGAGGUGCGGCUCCGCCAGGGGUGGCCAAUCGCACCCGACUGCGCGGAG
rnacentral:lncRNA from 1 species